rnacentral:rRNA from 1 species
UACGGGGGGAGCAAGCGUUGUUCGGAUUUACUGGGCGUAAAGGGCGCGUAGGCGGUCAGCACAAGUCAGUUGUGAAAUCUCCGGGCUUAACUCGGAAAGGUCAACUGAUACUGUGCGACUAGAGUGCAGAAGGGGCAACUGGAAUUCUCGGUGUAGCGGUGAAAUGCGUAGAUAUCGAGAGGAACACCUGCGGCGAAGGCGGGUUGCUGGGCUGACACUGACGCUGAUGCGCGAAAGCCAGGUGAGCGAACGGG